GUUGUACCGCAAUGGAUAACGAAUUGGACCUCUAAUCCAAAGGUCAUGGGUUCGAAUUCCGACUGGGACG